rnacentral:rRNA from 1 species
CAUAAGCCAGCUUGACUGCGAGCGUGACGGCGCGAGCAGGUGCGAAAGCAGGUCAUAGUGAUCCGGUGGUUCUGAAUGGAAGGGCCAUCGCUCAACGGAUAAAAGGUACUCCGGGGAUAACAGGCUGAUACCGCCCAAGAGUUCAUAUCGACGGCGGUGUUUGGCACCUCGAUGUCGGCUCAUCACAUCCUGGGGCUGAAGUAGGUCCCAAGGGUAUGGCUGUUCGCCAUUUAAAGUGGUACGCGAGCUGGGUUUAGAACGUCGUGAGACAGUUCGGUCCCUAUCUGCCGUGGGCGCUGGAGAACUGAGGGGGGCUGCUCCUAGUACGAGAGGACCGGAGUGGACGCAUCACUGGUGUUCGGGUUGUCAUGCCAAUGGCACUGCCCGGUAGCUAAAUGCGGAAGAGAUAAGUGCUGAAAGCAUCUAAGCACGAAACUUGCC